rnacentral:rRNA from 1 species
UUUGUAGAAUGAACCGGCGAGUUACGAUUUGUUGCAAGGUUAAGCGGAAAAAGCGGAGCCGUAGCGAAAGCGAGUCUGAAUAGGGCGCAUAAGUAACAGGUCGUAGACCCGAAACCAGGUGAUCUACCCAUGUCCAGGAUGAAGGUAAGGUAAUACUUACUGGAGGUCCGAACCCACGCACGUUGAAAAGUGCGGGGAUGAGGUGUGGGUAGCGGAGAAAUUCCAAUCGAACUUGGAGAUAGCUGGUUCUCUCCGAAAUAGCUUUAGGGCUAGCCUCGAGGUAAAGAGUCAUGGAGGUAGAGCACUGUUUGGACUAGGGGCCCUUCUCGGGUUACCGAAUUCAGAUAAACUCCGAAUGCCAUGUACUUAUACUCGGGAGUCAGACUGCGAGUGAUAAGAUCCGUAGUCGAAAGGGAAACAGCCCAGACCACCAGUUAAGGUCCCCAAAUAUAUGUUAAGUGGAAAAGGAUGUGGGGUUGCUUAGACAACCAGGAUGUUGGCUUAGAAGCAGCCACCAUUGAAAGAGUGCGUAAUAGCUCACUGGUCGAGUGACCCCGCGCCGAAAAUGUACCGGGGCUAAACAUAUUACCGAAACUGUGGAUGAACCUCUUUAGAGGUUCGUGGUAGGAGAGCGUUCUAAGGGCGGUGAAGUCAGACCGGAAGGACUGGUGGAGCGCUUAGAAGUGAGAAUGCCGGUAUGAGUAGCGAAAGAAGGGUGAGAAUCCCUUCCACCGAAUAUCUAAGGUUUCCUGAGGAAGGCUCGUCCGCUC